GCCAGUCCCCAACCUGCCAGGCCGCCUUCUCCACAGGGCCCUCCAGCCAGCUCCCCUGGGCCAGUCCCCAUCCUCCCAGUCGCCUUCUCCACAGGGCCCUCCAGCCAGCUCCCCUGGGCCAGUCCCCAACCUGCCAGCUGCCGUCUCCACAGGGCCCUCCAGCCAGCUCCCCUGAGCCAGUCCCCACCUGCUCCCUAGCCCCACCCUCCUGGAGGUCUGCUGGGGCACAGCUGACUCCAACCAGCCCAAGAGUGAGUCGAGUCCUUUUCACACCCGGCCCUGACCCUCUCACAGCACCGCCUCUGCCCCCUCGUCCUUGGGGCUCAGCCCAAUGGGGGCUCCCCCCACCCCGUGCCCAUGAACCGUCCCCAGCCGCCUUGCCUAUGGGGUCAGCGCAGCAGGCUGCUGCAUGCCCCCCUCCUGCCAGCUGCCCCCGGCCGCACUGUGCGUGCUGCAAGCUCCUCCGCACACUCACUCUGCAGGGUACCGGCGCAGCGAGUUGGUGGCAGCUGGCAGGAGCAGGACACACAGCUGCCGCCGCCCCGACCCCCUGGACAGGAGGAGUGAGCAGACCCGCUCCAAACCCAAUCCUUGCAGGCUGGCCCCUCGGGCUGCAAGGCUCUGCUCCCUGCCCCCUGCCAGCAGGGGCCAAUGCACCUGUAAUUGGGGGCUAGAGGCUAGUAAGGGCAGUAGGUCGAAAGCAUUGGCUCUGGGAUAAUUGCCCUAGAGUCCCCAGCUGAGAGCAGAGCCCUUGUGGUGGGUACUGUACAGCUGGCCUGGUACAUGCAAGCCGGCAAUGCAGAGCUCCAUGCAGGACCUGUUUGUCCAGGGGUGGGAUGGAGGGCAGCUCCCUGCAUUGCCUGGCAGCUCUUAAUAUGCUCCCAUGGGGCUCUGCAGAGCCUGCCCCCAACCCCAACCCCCCUGCCCAUUUAGGGCUGGCCAGGAGUUGGGGCUGAAUGGUGCUGCAGGGGCGUGAGGUUGCCAUGCCCUGUGCUGUGAACUCCCCAAGUGGUCCCACCACUCCUUUGCCAACGCUCCUCUUUGCUCAUGCUACAGGCCCAUUUCACUGCCGAUCACUGGUUGCUAAAGACUAUAAAAUAAUGCAGACUAGUUGUCAGGGCAUAAAAACACCAGCUCCCACCAGCCCAGUCCCUGCCGCUCCCCCUGAGUACAAGGGCAGCACAGGGUCACUGGGAGCAUGCUAGGGGAUCUCCUGCCCCAGCCACUGUGCAGCCUGCUGUGGGGAACAGGCUGGGCUUCCAACAGGGGCCGUAGCCCUGUAUGGCAAGGGACUGCCCCAGGGCUAGAGGAGAUCCCCAGGAGAGAGGGCGUAAGACCCUGUACCACCAUUCUCAGGUGAAGACAGCCUGGGAUCCCUGCUCUGGGCUGGGUCCUAGCGUGGGGCUGGCCUGCAAUGCUGAUAAGCCAGUUAAUGCACAGACCAGUGCGAAGUCUGCCCUGCACAGCUUGUUUGCUCACUGGGGAGAGGAAAACCCCAGCUCAGUCUGGCACCAAGCGACAGUCCCUGGCUUGGCCUCAGCCCAGCUGGGUGACCUUAACAAGGGGCUUCUUCGUCCCCUUGGACCUGGGUUCUCUAUCUGGAAAAUAGGGCUACCCCUUCCCAGGGGCUGAAUCCACUAGCAAGCGGGAGGUGGGACAGGGACAAGCCAGGCCUAGAUCCUGCCAUUCCCUUCAUCCAGAGCAGUGAGGCCCUUUACAGAGCUGGAUUCCUCCACAUUCCCAGCUCUGGGUGUAGCACCGGCUUCUUCUCUCCAAUUACCGCACUGUCCUGCCUCCACGGGCUCUGGUAGGCCCCAUUAAUCAUUCGCAAACGCUGAGAAGGAGUCUGGCCCGGCGCCCCCACCUGGCCUGCUCCUCAUUCCCAGCAGUGUGCCAGCUGGGGACCAGCACUGCUUAUCAAGGCCCCUGAUGAGGAGGGGGAGCUGGUAUGUCUGCCCUAGCUCUGGGGGUAAGGAGAGGUGCUAUGAGCCAGUGGGCCCCUCUGCUCACUAGCUGUCUCCAUCUCCCCUAGCCAGAGAGAGCUCCCACCCAGGAAUGCUACAGCCACUGAUUUAGGGAAGCCGACCUGUGACCCCCCGUGUCUGAUUUUCAGUGGGGCUGAGUACCUUACCUGCAGCUUGAUAGCAAGGCGAGCCACAGCCACACAGCCCCCCUCUCGAAAUCAGGCUCCAUGUGCCCAAACUGGUCACCCAAGCGCUGAGUCCCCAGGAUCGAUGGGCAUUUUACAUGCAACUGCCAGUGCCUGGAGCAUGCUACUCUCCUCCUCUGCCUCCUUUACCACCCCCCACCCCUCAGGGACCCAAACACAAUAACCUCGCACAUUCUGUAGCACUACCCACAGCAAGGCAUGUGCAAACACCACCUAAUCUCUUCAUCCGGCAGUGAAAUGCAGCCACCUCUGGGGUGGGAACGCAACAGGUGUUUGAUGGAGCCCAGCAAUGCUAUAAUGCACCAGCUGGGAACUCCCAGGAUGUGGCUGGGGUGGCGGGCAGGCAGGUGGAACCCAGGAGUCCUGCACCCAGGCCUGUGCUUCAAUCGCAUGAGCUGUCUCCUAGUCCCUUCUCCAUUGGGACGCAGGGAGCAGCCAGGGGGAACCUGCUGUGCUGGGAGGAACAAAGUUCAUCAAGUAGCACUGAGCAAACCAAACCUACAGACAGAGUGCGCCAAAGGGUAGCCUCCUGCAGCAAAGGCUGGUUCCCCCCACAGGUUCUCAGGCCAGAGUCCAAAAGAGCGUGAGGCGCAGGAGGCACUAAGGUAUGCAAAAAGCCGUCCCCAGCUCAGCUCGGGCCAGGUUUCCUUUCACCUCACCUGCCAAAGCUGCUGCUGAAGGAUUAAUGGGGUCCUCGCCCAACUCACAGCCUCUGUUCAGUAGAGGAGGCAAUAGGCCCCAUCCUGCUAGUUCUUACUAAAUGGGAUUACAAGUGGUGGGGGGCGGGGGAAGGGGUUAAUAGUUCCUGAUGUGCAAUACCCCAGCAGCCCUAGGCCUAGCCCUACAAUGAAAGUGCAGGAGGAAGAGAGCCCAGGAGAUCUCCCAAGGGUGAUAAAUGUGGGCCAGUCAGCACCAGCUCAGCCUGGAUCGUUCCACAGCUGAAUCCUCUAGGGCCACUCCUCCACCUGAACCUCCUCAGUCUCACCUGGAACAGCUACUGCAUCAACCAGCCUCCUGCCACAUGCACCCCAGGGCCCCAUUCCUGCACCCACAACCCCUGGCACCUGCAUGGAGCCAGCUGCAGACUCAGGCCCUGGCUUGGCAGCAACUCUAGCCUCAAGCACAUCCAGCUGCAAAGAACACCAGCUGUCUUCACAUUCCUGGAUGGCACCUCCCAUUCUCUGAGGGCCACAGGCUUUAACGCAGUCUCACCCUGUCGCCAUCUCCCUUCAGCGCAGCGUUUCAGGAAGGUGUUGCAGAACCUGAAGAGACUUCCACAUGGCAUCUCCAUGGCAAUGUAUGCAUACACAUUCCAUGCAGCCUUUGCCUAGGGACUAAUUAUUCCCUGGUUUUGGUGCGGAACCGGAGGCCACAUGAAGAAGGUGCCUGAUUGCUCGGACUCACUGGGCUGGAAUCAAUGGGAGUGGAGCUCCGACAGCUUGUCUGAUCUGCUCUUCAAUCUCCUACAAAGGGAAGUGCGGGUGUUUUUAUUUAGC